rfam:Gossypium hirsutum cultivar TM-1 chromosome 9, whole genome shotgun sequence
GUUGUGUUUUGAUUAGUAAUGCCUCUUAACCCUAAUUCAGUGACGGAUAUAGGUUAGGGGUGUUACAGCAGUGGGGAAUUUUUCGCAAUGGGCUAAAGCCUAACGGAGCAAUGCCGCGUGGAGUUAGAAGGCCCACGGGUCGUGAACUUCUUUUCCCGGAGAAGAAGCAAUGACGGUAUCUGGAGAAUAAGCAUUAGCUAUGACACGAC